rnacentral:tRNA from 1 species
GCGGGUGUAGUACAGUGGUUAGUAUCUCUCCCUUCCAAGGAGAGGACGAGGGUUCGAAUCCCUUCACCCGCU